GUUCCCGGCCCCGCCCCUCCCCUCGCAGGUCCACCCCCUUCACGGAGCAUGCGCUGUUCUCCCUCUGUCCCGCCCCUCCCUUCUAGAGCCCCCGGUUCCUUAGAAACCAGGCGGCGUGUUCACGGUGUCGGGACGCUAGAUUACGGUGGCUGCUCAAGCCCGCUAGUCUCCUUUAAGGCGGACGGGUGGCCUCCGAAACCCGUCCCGACCCAUGGUCUCCGGUGCGGCGCGGAGCGGGCAAUGCCAGCGUGCCAGGGAACGAACUCGGGACCUUGCGCUUUCGAGGCAGGCAGUGGAACCACUAAGCUAAAUCCCUGGCCCUCCUACCAUUUUGGACCCAUUCUGCACUGAAGAAAUGCUUGGGUAGAUGUUUGGACUGCUCUGGUGAAAGAGGAGUAUCUUCCAGUUACAAGCUGGCUGUGUGUGUGUGAGUGUGAGCUCCACCCCCAGCCACUUUUGUUUUUCUUUAGCAAACUAGCUUUUUCAUUGACCUUGGGCAACUGUGUUUUUUUCCUUUCUUUCUCUUCCUGGACUACCAAUGUCAGUCUUUCUAUGAUAAUUCAGCUCCAGGGUAUAGAUGAUGCCUUUCCCAUAUAGAACUCAAAGUGUGUUACAGAAACUGUGUAUCAUUUACCACUUUAAGUAAGGCUGACUUAUAUCCUCCUGGAUGCUGUCACAGUACCAUGAUUGUUUUAUCUCUCCUGCUAGACUAUACAAUCUAUCUAAGCAAAAGCUGUAACUGUUUUGCUCACCAAAAUAUCCUGUGCUUUGUCUAGUGCUGGCCCAUAACAGGUAUUUAAUAAAUGUAUAUUAGUGAGUCUAUCUGCA
rnacentral:lncRNA from 1 species